rnacentral:snRNA from 1 species
CGCCGGUGGGAAGACUGCGCA